GACGAACGCUGGCGGCGUGCCUAAUACAUGCAAGUCGAACGAGUUGCGAACGGGUGAGUAACGCGUGGUAACCUGCCUCAUAGCGGGGGAUAACUAUUGGAAACGAUAGCUAAUACCGCAUACUUUGAGAUGGACCUGCGUUGGAUUAGCUUGUUGGUGGGGUAAAGGCUCACCAAGGCGACGAUACAUAGCCGACCUGUGAGGGUGAUCGGCCACAGUGGGACUGAGACACGGCCCAGACUCCUACGGGAGGCAGCAGUGGGGAAUAUGGCACAAUGGGCGAAAGCCUGAUGCAGCCAUGCCGCGUGUAUGAAGAAGGCCUUCGGGUUGUAAAGUACUUUCAGCGGGGAGGCGUUACCCGCAGAAGAAGCACCGGCUAACUCCGUGCCAGCAGCCGCGGUAAUUC
rnacentral:rRNA from 1 species